GGGCGUGUGGCGGAAUUGGUAGACGCACCACAUUCAAAAUGUGGCGGCUUAGGCCUUGAGGGUUCGAGUCCCUCCCCGCCUA
rnacentral:tRNA from 1 species